GCGUCCGUAGCUCAACUGGAUAGAGCAUCGGUCUUCGGAACCGAGGGUUGUAGGUUCGAAUCCUACCGGGCGUG
rnacentral:tRNA from 1 species